UACGUAGGGUGCGAGCGUUGUCCGGAAUUAUUGGGCGUAAAGAGCUUGUAGGCGGUCUGUCGCGUCUGCUGUGAAAAUCCGGGGCUCAACCCCGGACUUGCAGUGGGUACGGGCAGACUAGAGUGUGGUAGGGGAGACUGGAAUUCCUGGUGUAGCGGUGAAAUGCGUAGAUAUCAGGAGGAACACCGGUGGCGAAGGCGCUCAUCUGGCCCGAUACUGACGCUGAGGCACGAAAGCGUGGGGAGCAAACAGG
rnacentral:rRNA from 1 species